rnacentral:rRNA from 1 species
CCUACGGGUGGCAGCAGUGAGGAAUAUUGGUCAAUGGGCGUAAGCCUGAACCAGCCAAGUCGCGUGAGGGAUGAAGGUCCUAUGGAUUGUAAACCUCUUUUAUGAGGGAAUAAAGUGCGGGACGUGUCCCGUAUUGUAUGUACCUUAUGAAUAAGGAUCGGCUAAUUCCGUGCCAGCAGCCGCGGUAAUACGGAGGGUCCGAGCGUUAUCCGGAUUUAUUGGGUUUAAAGGGUGCGUAGGCGGCCUUUUAAGUCAGGGGUGAAAGUCCGUGGCUCAACCGUAGCAUUGCCGUUGAAACUGGGGGGCUUGAGUGCGCUUGAGGUAGGCGGAAUGCGUGGUGUAGCGGUGAAAUGCUUAGAUAUCACGCAGAACCCCGAUUGCGAAGGCAGCCUACCGAGCCAUGACUGACGCUGAGGCACGAAAGCGUGGGUAUCGAACAGGAUUAGAUACCCGUGUAGUC